UUCUGGGGCUUUGCUUGAUGAGCUUGCAUUGUCAAUGCAUGGGACAAAAGCAAAGGGAACACUCUCUGUUUACCCCUUCUAAGGCCUGACCUUGGGCCCCUAGUCCGUGUCUUUGACCUUGUCAUCACCACCACAGGCAGCCAAUCUCAACUGGGAAAAGCAGGGAUUUAUGAACUCAUUUCAACUAUCCUAUUCAGUGGAUCCUCAUUGGAAAAGCCACCUUCAAAAAGUGUCUUUCCAUUGCUGAUCCAUGACUAGCGCCUGAACCCAAAUUUUUAGCACUCUGCCACUAAAAGAAAAAAUGCAAACAAGGUGAGGCUGGCAAGAAGGCUGAUGAUGCUGUUUUACACCUAGAGGUCUUAUGGAACCAGGACUGCAUUUGUACAUGGAACAAACAACUUUGGGGGAUGGUUUAAUAAUUGCCUUUGGUAGGGCUUGUCUCACAUUCAUUAAAAA